GGGAGAAACCAGGGGAUCUUCGGACCUUGCGCUAUUAGAUGGGCCUAUGUGGGAGUACCUACGUGGCGGGGUAUAGGCCUACCAAGGCGACGAUCUGUAGGGGGUCUGAGAGGAUGAUCCGGCACACUGGAACUGACACACGGCCCAUACUCCUACGGCAGGAAUCCUAGGGGAAUAUUGGACAAUGGGCGCAAGCCUGAGCCAGCCAUGCCGCGUGAGUGAAGAAGGCCUUAUGGUUGUAAAGCACUUUAAGCGAGGAUGAGGCUACUUUAGUUAAUACCUACAGAUAGUGUACGUUACUCCCAUAAUAAGCACCGGCUAACUCUGCGCCAGUAGCCGCGGGACUACAGACGGUGCAAGCGUUAAUCGGAUUUACUGAUCGUAAAGCGCGGGUAGGCGAGUAAUUAAGUCAGAUGUGAAAUCCCCGAUGUUAACUUGCGAAUUGCAUUCGAUACUGGUUAUCUAAAGUGGGGAAAAUGAUGGGAGAAUUACAAGUGUAGCGUUGCAAUGCGUACAGAUCUGUGCGAAUACCGAUGGCGAAGGCAGCCAUCUGACCUAACACUGACGCUGAGGUGCUGAACAGCAUGGGCGAGAAUAAGCACCGGCUAACUCUGCGCCAGUAGCCGCGGGACUACAGACGGUGCAAGCGUUAAUCGGAUUUACUGAUCGUAAAGCGCGGGUAGGCGAGUAAUUAAGUCAGAUGUGAAAUCCCCGAUGUUAACUUGCGAAUUGCAUUCGAUACUGGUUAUCUAAAGUGGGGAAAAUGAUGGGAGAAUUACAAGUGUAGCGUUGCAAUGCGUACAGAUCUGUGCGAAUACCGAUGGCGAAGGCAGCCAUCUGACCUAACACUGACGCUGAGGUGCUGAACAGCAUGGGCGAGCUACGUGGCGGGGUAUAGGCCUACCAAGGCGACGAUCUGUAGGGGGUCUGAGAGGAUGAUCCGGCACACUGGAACUGACACACGGCCCAUACUCCUACGGCAGGAAUCCUAGGGGAAUAUUGGACAAUGGGCGCAAGCCUGAGCCAGCCAUGCCGCGUGAGUGAAGAAGGCCUUAUGGUUGUAAAGCACUUUAAGCGAGGAUGAGGCUACUUUAGUUAAUACCUACAGAUAGUGUACGUUACUCCCAUCGUACAGAUCUGUGCGAAUACCGAUGGCGAAGGCAGCCAUCUGACCUAACACUGACGCUGAGGUGCUGAACAGCAUGGGCGAGAAUAAGCACCGGCUAACUCUGCGCCAGUAGCCGCGGGACUACAGACGGUGCAAGCGUUAAUCGGAUUUACUGAUCGUAAAGCGCGGGUAGGCGAGUAAUUAAGUCAGAUGUGAAAUCCCCGAUGUUAACUUGCGAAUUGCAUUCGAUACUGGUUAUCUAAAGUGGGGAAAAUGAUGGGAGAAUUACAAGUGUAGCGUUGCAAUGCGUACAGAUCUGUGCGAAUACCGAUGGCGAAGGCAGCCAUC
rnacentral:rRNA from 1 species